rnacentral:rRNA from 1 species
UACACACCGCCCGUCACACCACGAAAGUCGGCAAUACCCGAAGCCGGUGGGCUAACCUCGCAAGAGGAGGCAGCCGUCGAAGGUAGGGUCGAUGAUUGGGGUG